GGUUGAAGAACAACGGAAUAUAAUUGGUACCAGUUUAGGAUGUCAGAACGAAGUGUAAAGAAUUUUAGAUGGAAAAAAGAGACACGUUUACAGCCAGCUAUUUUAUGUCGUAAAAGAAAGGCAACGACCGAUUCAGAGAAUGUUAGUAUAGAUGAUCAUCGUGCAAAUAAAAGACGGCAGGAAUUCCAAAAUCAGGUAAG